GUCCUAGUGGUGUAGUGGUAACAUUUAUAGCUUUUAGCUAUAGGCCCCAGGUUCAAAUCCUGGCUAGGGCG